UAGGGAAUCUUCCACAAUGGACGCAAGUCUGAUGGAGCAACGCCGCGUGAGUGAAGAAGGUUUUCGGAUCGUAAAGCUCUGUUGUUGGUGAAGAAGGAUAGAGGCAGUAACUGGUCUUUAUUUGACGGUAAUCAACCAGAAAGUCACGGCUAACUACGUGCCAGCAGCCGCGGUAAUACGUAGGUGGCAAGCGUUGUCCGGAUUUAUUGGGCGUAAAGCGAGCGCAGGCGGAAUGAUAAGUCUGAUGUGAAAGCCCACGGCUCAACCGUGGAACUGCAUCGGAAACUGUCAUACUUGAGUGCAGAAGAGGAGAGUGGAAUUCCAUGUGUAGCGGUGGAAUGCGUAGAUAUAUGGAAGAACACCAGUGGCGAAGGCGGCUCUCUGGUCUGCAACUGACGCUGAGGCUCGAAAGCAUGGGUAGCGAACAGG
rnacentral:rRNA from 1 species